GUGGGGAAUAUUGGACAAUGGGCGCAAGCCUGAUCCAGCCAUGCCGCGUGAGUGAUGAAGGCCUUAGGGUUGUAAAGCUCUUUCACCGGUGAAGAUAAUGACGGUAACCGGAGAAGAAGCCCCGGCUAACUUCGUGCCAGCAGCCGCGGUAAUACGAAGGGGGCUAGCGUUGUUCGGAAUUACUGGGCGUAAAGCGCACGUAGGCUGAUAUUUAAGUCUGGGGUGAAAUCCCGGGGCUCAACCCCGGAACUGCCUUUGAUACUGGGUAUCUUGAGUAUGGAAGAGGUCAGUGGAAUUGCGAGUGUAGAGGUGAAAUACGUAGAGAUUCGGAGGAACACCAGUGGCGAAGGCGGCUCACUGGCUGGAUACUGACGCUGAGGUGCGAAAGCGUGGGGAGCAAACAGGAUUAGAAACCCCAGUAGUCC
rnacentral:rRNA from 1 species